UACGUAGGGUGCAGGCGUUAAUCGGAAUUACUGGGCGUAAAGCGUGCGCAGGCGGCUCCUUAAGUCAGAUGUGAAAUCCCCGGGCUUAACCUGGGAACUGCGUUUGAAACUGAGGGGCUAGAGUGUGGAAGAGGGGGGUGGAAUUCCAGGUGUAGCAGUGAAAUGCGUAGAGAUCUGGAGGAACACCGAUGGCGAAGGCAGCCCCCUGGGCUAACACUGACGCUCAUGCACGAAAGCGUGGGGAGCAAACAGG
rnacentral:rRNA from 2 species